CUCUCUCUCCGCCUCACCCCUCUCUCUCUCUCUCCCGCUCGUCUCUCCCUCUCCCCCGCUCCAGGCCCUGCAGGCGUACGGGGUGUCCGUCGACGCCGCCUGCCCCGGCAAGAAGGCCGGCGACGCCUGCCCCACAGCCAAGCGCCGCCCGACCCCGCCUCCCUCGACCCCGCGCCGCCGCGCCACCUCGCCUCCGCUCUGCUGCGCCACCUUGCCUCCGCCCGCCGGUGCGCGCCGCCACCACAUCGGACCCCAGGAGCCCCGCCGCCUCGCGCUGCCGCCUGCGUCGCGUCGCGCGCCACUUCCUCCCCACAAGCUCGCCGCCUCGCCGCGGAAGCCUCGUCGCCGAUCGCCCCGACCUCGAGAUCCGCCGCUGCCAUGGGAGCCGAGCACCGAGCUCCUCUGCGCCCCGCCCGCGUCUCGCUUCGCCGCCGCCGCCCCAUGCUGCCUCGCGCCCGGAUCCGGCCGCGGGAGGUUCGGCCACUCCGGAUCCGGCCUCCUCCUCACCGCACGGGCCUCCUCCUCGCCAGAGUGACGCCCCUCGCCGGAGCAGCGCCGGCCAAGCCCAUGCUCGCCCCGGAUUCUGCACCGCUGCUGCCACCGCCGUCGCCGACUGCGUUCCGAGUUGGGGCACCCACGAAAGCGGCGCCGCUGCUGCUAGUGUUUCCGCAGUUUCUUUGAUUUUGAGCGACCCUGUGCUGCUUCUGUUUACCAGGAAGGUUUGAAGGCUAAGGUGAAGAGCGAUUUGAGUAAGGAGGUGCAGCCCGGGAGGGGCGCACAAAGCUCCCUGAGAAAAGAGAUUCUUCAACUAGAAAAGCACCUCAAGGAUCAACGAGGGGUGCUAGUGUUCACGCUGCUUCGGUUCACCCUUUGGAAUUUCUCCUCGACGGUACGUCGUCUUAUCUCAUUGGGACCGAGGCGGUUUCACCAACCUCUGUUUGUGUUCCCCACCUUUGUUUAUAUUUAGGUUCAGGAAAAUGGCCUCAGUUCAUUCGGCUUACUAAUAGGCUGGUUUCACCCUGUAGUCGUAAGUACUAAAUACACACUAUAGGCUUUGACUUGGGAAAUAGGCAACACAGCACUCGAAUCCCCCCUGGAAACAAGAACUAAGCUCAAAGAAAAAUCAGGUGGUCCUGCAGCUGGCGACAUGGUUACAGUAGUCUUCAGCAGGCAGUGCCCCCAUGUAAAAUAACGCAUUGCCAAACGAAAGGAAUCAUGCAUGCUUUGAAACGGAAACGGAUUCUCCCUAAUAAAAAGCAAAAGGAAUUGUACAGUACUACUCCUACGAAAACCUACUAGUAAUAAGUAACAUACCAUAACAAGGAAACCCGUAGCUGUUUCUCUGCAUCCUGCACCUUUUAGCUACAGGACCUAAUGGCUGAUGCCUACUUCUAGCAUAUAUAUGGUUGUCUGUGCCUUGCUGUUUUCCAACCAUUCAUGCACGAGCAAUUUAAUGGAACCGUGAGCUUUUGGGUGUGGAGGCGGCGGCGGCGGCGGUCCGCCUCAGUUUGGUCCUGUGUAAAUACUUGUCUUAGGGGUCUCUGUAUUGCAUAUACACAGAAUCUUCAAUUUGUCUCAAAUGCUCACUGGUAAAAAACAGCCAUGCUGGCGGUUCUUAUCAGUGUGAUGGUAUGCUAACUGCUUCUGAUAUAAUUCUGCUCUAAAAGCCCUACGCUACUUUUGUCUUGUGGAUACGCCGUGCAGACAAAUGCUGAGUUAAAAGGUCAUAACUUUACACUAAUUUAAGAUUGUCUUGAUCUCAAGUGCUGGCUCCUACAGCAUUGCAUUUCACCAAGUGAAAUGCUACAUUUCUACUCCUAACCCAUUCUCUUUUUCUUAGUGUUUUUGUUAUGCAGGUUGGAAGAAAAGAAGAAGAUCUAGAGAAGAUCUUAGUAAUAAGAUAGUUUUUAGGAAAAUAGAUAUUUAGUUUAGGUCAUUUCUUGUAAUUUCAGAUAUGGAGUGCUUGUCUUUAGUUUUUGUUUUGACUUUGUGAAACUUGCUACCUAUUGAUGAAACUAUGUAUAUGUAUGGAUGAAACUUCCUACUAUUGGUAACAUGCGUUGGAUAUGUGUUGGAUA